UCCCAUGUUUUCAUACCACACUUAAUAGUUGUUUUAUCCUACUAAAUGAGUAUUUGUAGAAAUUAUGCUAAUUUUAUCUUCUAUUUAUGAAUAGAUACAUUGCCUUUAUCUGUGAUCUACAGAUAAAUUUAAAUUUAUUUUAGUUGUAUAAAAACAAUAUAAAAGACUAUUAAGUACUUUGAGUAUACUACCCAGUAGUUAAGUAUAUUCAAGUUCUUAUGCAAUGUAUUUUUUGAAAAUAAUUUUGCUUUUGAAACUAACUAUAUUUAUGAAAAAAAUUGUGUACUUUUGUCUCCAGGUAAACUAUUCUGUUUACCAUUCUACUGUAAGUUUUCUAAGUUUUGUUAGUAUAGAAUCUUCAGGUAAUUCAGGUCAUAUAUGUCUUUGUCUUGAUUUCAUUUUUCUUUUGCGAAUUGUCCUCUUGGCAGAUAGUAUACGGUUACCAUUUACAGGUUGAAUAG
rnacentral:lncRNA from 1 species